rnacentral:rRNA from 1 species
UACGGAGGGGGCUAGCGUUGUUCGGAAUUACUGGGCGUAAAGCGCACGUAGGCGGACUAUUAAGUCAGGGGUGAAAUCCCGGGGCUCAACCCCGGAACUGCCUUUGAUACUGGUAGUCUCGAGUCCGGAAGAGGUGAGUGGAAUUCCGAGUGUAGAGGUGAAAUUCGUAGAUAUUCGGAGGAACACCAGUGGCGAAGGCGGCUCACUGGUCCGGUACUGACGCUGAGGUGCGAAAGCGUGGGGAGCAAACAGG